rnacentral:rRNA from 1 species
UACAGAGGGGGCAAGCGUUGUUCGGAAUUACUGGGCGUAAAGGGCGCGUAGGUGGCCUUCUAAGUCGAACGUGAAAUCCCUGGGCUCAACCCAGGAACUGCGUCCGAGACUGGGAGGCUUGAAUCCGGGAGAGGGAUGCGGAAUUCCAGGUGUAGCGGUGAAAUGCGUAGAUAUCAAGAGGAACACCUGCGGCGAAGGCGGGUUGCUGGGCCGACACUGACGCUGAUGCGCGAAAGCUAGGGGAGCGAACGGG